AAAAACCUGCAGACAAACGCCUAUUCUCUGCACCUGUUGGAAGAGGCCUAAAGAGUUUCCACCGUUUUAUUCUCUGGCUUUGUAAAUCAAAUUACCUGAUGGCAAUUCUCCUCAAUUUUUCGUCUUCUAUGUUGAUGCAGGUUUGGCCUCUUAUCUUUCCUUCAUCAUACUUUCAUCUUCUUUUCAUAUUUAUUUUUUCAUAAUUUUAUCACUUGUACUUGUUGUCAGAUCUUCGACGCUUUAUUUCUCCAUCUAUUUUUCGGGCUAAACUGACAGCUAUAUCUACCUCGGUUGAAAUCUACUUGUAAGUUCAAUUCAGAAAAUAUUCAUGUAUGUACAGACUGUUAGACUGUUAGACUGUUGAGUUGUCAUACAUCGGAGGAAUUUGAGGUUCUUGGUUUCCUUAUAUGGCUUGGGCAAUCCUCACCUCAUAAGCUAGUUUUUGGGGUUGAGUUAGGCCCAAUGUCCAUUCUUAUCAUGGUAUCACAGCCAGGCUCAUCCCAAUUAUUGUUACCGAUGUUGGGCCCCCAUUUAUGUUGUCCACGCUCCAGAAAUCUGGGCGUGAUGGGGGUUGUUGAGUUGUCCCACGUCUGAGGGAUUUGAGGUCCUUGGUUUCCUUAUAUGGCUUGGGCAAUCCUCACCUAAUAAGCUAGCUUUUGGGGUUGGGUUAGGUCCAAUGUCCAUUCUUUUCACAGACUUAUCAUGCUACUUUGUCCAAUAAUUUUCUGAUAUGAG
rnacentral:lncRNA from 1 species